rnacentral:rRNA from 1 species
GACGAACGCUGGCGGCGUGCCUAAUACAUGCAAGUCGAACGCUUCUUUCCUCCCGAGUGCUUGCACUCAAUUGGAAAGAGGAGUGGCGGACGGGUGAGUAACACGUGGGUAACCUACCCAUCAGAGGGGGAUAACACUUGGAAACAGGUGCUAAUACCGCAUAACAGUUUAUGCCGCAUGGCAUAAGAGUGAAAGGCGCUUUCGGGUGUCGCUGAUGGAUGGACCCGCGGUGCAUUAGCUAGUUGGUGAGGUAACGGCUCACCAAGGCCACGAGGCAUAGCCGACCUGAGAGGGGGAUCGGCCACACUGGGACGGGGACACGGCCCAGACUCCUACGGGAGGCAGCAGUAGGGAAUCUUCGGCAAUGGACGAAAGUCUGACCGAGCAACGCCGCGUGAGUGAAGAAGGUUUUCGGAUCGUAAAACUCUGUUGUUAGAGAAGAACAAGGACGUUAGUAACUGAACGUCCCCUGACGGUAUCUAACAAGAAAGACACGGCUAACUACGU